GACGAACGCUGGCGGCGUGCUUAACACAUGCAAGUCGAACGGAAAGGCCCCUUUGGGGGUACUCGAGUGGCGAACGGGUGAGUAACACGUGAGUAACCUGCCCUUGACUUCGGGAUAACUUCAGGAAACUGGGGCUAAUACCGGAUAGGAAUCCUUGCUGCAUGGUGGGGGUUGGAAAGCUUCGGCGGUUUUGGAUGGACUCGCGGCUUAUCAGCUUGUUGGUGGGGUAGUGGCUUACCAAGGCUUUGACGGGUAGCCGGCCUGAGAGGGCGACCGGCCACAUUGGGACUGAGAUACGGCCCAGACUCCUACGGGAGGCAGCAGUGGGGAAUAUUGCACAAUGGGCGGAAGCCAGAUGCAGCAACGCCGCGUGCGGGAUGACGGCCUUCGGGUUGUAAACCGCUUUCAGCAGGGGCGAAGCUUGUGGUGACGGUACCUGCAGAAGAAGCACCGGCUAACUACGUG
rnacentral:rRNA from 1 species